CCUACGGGAGGCAGCAGUAAGGAAUAUUGGACAAUGCCCGCAAGGGUGAUCCAGCCAUGCCGCGUGCAGGAAGACGGCCCUAUGGGUUGUAAACUGCUUUUACACCGGAGAAAACCUCCCCUCGUGAGGGGAGCUGAUAGUAUGGUGAGAAUAAGCAUCGGCUAACUUCGUGCCAGCAGCCGCGGUAAGACGAAGGAUGCAAGCGUUAUCCGGAUUCAUUGGGUUUAAAGGGAGCGUAGGUGGCCUUAUAAGUCAGUGGUUGAAAUCUCUGGGCUUAACCCAGAAAUUGCCAUUGAUACUGUAGGGCUUGAGUAUAGUUGCCGUUGGCGGAAUAUGACAUGUAGUGGUGAAAUACAUAGAGAUGUCAUAGAACACCGAUUGCGAAGGCAGCUGACGAAACUAUAACUGACACUGAGGCUCGAAAGUGCGGGGAUCAAACAGGAUUAGAUACCCUGGUAGUCCGCACUGUAAACGAUGAUUACUCGCUGCUAGAGGGCAACUUUUAGUGGCUUAGCGAAAGCGAUAAGUAAUCCACCUGGGGAGUACGCCGGCAACGGUGAAACUCAAAGGAAUUGACGGGGGCCCGCACAAGCGGAGGAGCAUGUGGUUUAAUUCGAUGAUACGCGAGGAACCUUACCAGGGCUUGAAAGUUAGGGAAUGAUUCUGAAAGGAGUCAGUCAGCAAUGACCCGAAACUAGGUGCUGCAUGGCUGUCGUCAGCUCGUGCCGUGAGGUGUUGGGUUAAGUCCCGCAACGAGCGCAACCCCUACCAUUAGUUGCCAGCGGUUCGGCCGGGGACUCUAGUGGAACUGCCCGCGCAAGCGGUGAGGAAGGUGGGGAUGACGUCAAGUCAUCACGGCCCUUACGUCCUGGGCUACACACGUGCUACAAUGGCUAUUACAGAGGGCAGCUACAUGGCAACAUGAUGCAAAUCUUCAAAAAUAGUCUCAGUUCGGAUUGGGGUCUGCAACUCGACCCCAUGAAGCUGGAUUCGCUAGUAAUCGCGCAUCAGCAAUGGCGCGGUGAAUACGUUCCCGGGCCUUGUACACACCGCCCGU
rnacentral:rRNA from 1 species